CCUACGGGAGGCAGCAGUAGGGAAUAUUGCACAAUGGGGGAAACCCUGAUGCAGCAACGCCGCGUGGGGGAAGAAGGUUUUCGGAUUGUAAACCCCUUUUGUUAGAGAAGAUAAUGACGGUAUCUAACGAAUCAGCACCGGCUAACUCCGUGCCAGCAGCCGCGGUAAUACGGAGGGUGCAAGCGUUACGCGGAAUCACUGGGCGUAAAGAGAGCGUAGGCGGGAUAGCAAGUCAGAUGUGAAAGCCUAUGGCUUAACCAUAGAACUGCAUUGGAAACUGUUAGUCUAGAGUGUGGGAGAGGUAAGUGGAAUUCCUGGUGUAGGGGUAAAAUCCGUAGAGAUCAAGAGGAAUACUCAUUGCGAAGGCGACCUGCUAGAAUAUAACUGACGCUGAUGCGCGAAAGCGUGGGGAGCAAACAGGAUUAGAUACCCUUGUAGUC
rnacentral:rRNA from 1 species